rnacentral:rRNA from 1 species
GACGAACGCUGGCGGCGUGCCUAAUACAUGCAAGUAGAACGCUGAAGGAGGAGCUUGCUUCUCUGGAUGAGUUGCGAACGGGUGAGUAACGCGUAGGUAACCUGCCUGGUAGCGGGGGAUAACUAUUGGAAACGAUAGCUAAUACCGCAUAAUAGUAGAUGUUGCAUGACAUUUGCUUAAAAGGUGCAAUUGCAUCACUACCAGAUGGACCUGCGUUGUAUUAGCUAGUUGGUGAGGUAACGGCUCACCAAGGCGACGAUACAUAGCCGACCUGAGAGGGUGAUCGGCCACACUGGGACUGAGACACGGCCCAGACUCCUACGGGAGGCAGCAGUAGGGAAUCUUCGGCAAUGGACGGAAGUCUGACCGAGCAACGCCGCGUGAGUGAAGAAGGUUUUCGGAUCGUAAAGCUCUGCUGUAAGAGAAGAACGAGUGUGAGAGUGGAAAGUUCACACUGUGACGGUAUCUUACCAGAAAGGGACGGCUAACUACGUG